UAGGGGCGCACUCCGAGCUCUUUUAAUUUAUGAUGUGACAAAAUCAACAACAUUUGAAAAUGUGAGCCGGUGGCUGAAGGAUCUGAGGGACCAUGCAGACUCCAACAUCGUGAUCAUGAUGAUCGGCAACAAGGCUGAUCCGAAACACCUCCAACUUCUAUGGUGAUGGCCUCUCUCCCUCUGUUACUCUCAAUUUCUUCCCAUUUUGUCGUGUUCCAACUUCUAUGUUAAUUUUUCAGUCUCUCGAUGGUUUAUUGUUGAAACUUAUUUUUAUUUAAUUUUUGUUAACAAUGUUGUAUUUGAAUUAUUCUCCUCAUUGUUGUUGCGACUUGAGAUAUCAGAAUUAUUUUUUUUGGCAGUGUGCAGUGUGCACUAGCAAUGUUACAGCUUACUCUGGUUUUUCAGUGUAUAAUAUACUGCUUCAGUUGGAUUCUCCAUUACAAGGCAAUGAAGUUGGCUUUAACAUUUUCUAUGGUCAUUUUUGUAAUUUGAUUUGACAAAAAUGGUAUUUUCCUUGUGUGUUUGCCUCAAACAAUUGCAAUUUUCUAGUUAUAAUGUUAUUGAAACAACAUCCAAAUCGCUUUAAAUCUCUUUUACUAUACAAAAUUCUCUCUGAAUUUGUUGUCAUUAUUAUUAUUAUUAUUAUUAUUAUUAUUAUUUUUGAGUUCAUUGCAUUACUUUGACCAUCACACAGUCUUUUAUAGCAAGUCUCGACGUUGCACUAUUUCAUUCGUGGAAACAGACUUUUAUUUAUUUAUUUAUUUUUAAAAAAAGAAAAAGAAAAAGAAAUAAAAAUAAUAUGUCAACUUACUGGGCUCCAAUUAUGAUAUUAAUAAAGAAAUAUAUAUUGAUUAUUUGAUGCCAUGUUACAAUGCGCAAUUUAGAGAAAAUUGUUACCAAUAAUUAUUGGAAAAUGAAAUGACAGAAAAAGAUUGUUACCUGAUGAAGCCUCAUCACAUCCUUAAGCUUUAAGACAAUAAUUAGUCGUGUAAAUUGGGGACCCGCAAAGCCGUCGAGUAAAUUUGCUUUACGUGAUUUAAAUUGAAGUUAUACAUAAUUGAUAAUUUCGCAAGAAAUGAAAAAGAAUAAUCGAAAAAUCAAAAUGCACUUCUAUCUUGCCACCACUCACCCUCUCGGCGAAAUGUGAUUUUCUUUGAACUUUCAUGGCUUCUAAGCUCCCGUCAAGAAUUAGAAAUUCACAAAUCCAACCUUUAUUAUCUCAGCAAUACAUCCCGAAUCCAAACCUUACCUCAUAAGUGGUGGGGUCAAUUGCAUAUUUCAUUUUUCUUUUUUCUUUUUUUUAUACAGAACGGUCAAUUCCAUUUUACUUCUGACUUAACAAGCACGUCCGCAGGUCUCAUUCCCAUAAUCCUUUACUAUUCACAACUUUACAUUAAUUGGCUUUUCCGUCCAGUGCUAAUUUUUCAAGAUACUCUUCCAGUCUUACUGAACUGGGUGACCAAUUUCUUUUAUGCUAAAUGUACCAUGCGACGCAGAAGAAGAAGAGUUGCAUUCCGAAGUCAAUAUGAUGCAAAUAAGCUGCCCCCGCCAUCAUCACCUUCAUCGGCAGCACUUUAAUCCUUCAAAGCAUAUAUACGUACACUUUUCUUACAUUUUUAGUUAUUAUGAGCUAAGUUUUCAGCACAUACAUACAAUUAUUUCUUUUAAUACAUCGAUGAGUCCAAAUUUAAUUAAGCUCAAAAUUUAGACUUUUAAGAGGAGAUGUUAGAAAGUUUUUUUAAAAUAUUAAAAUAUCUAAAAUAUUUCAUUUAGUUGACAAUUUUAUUUCAUUCCUUUCAUAGCAUAAUUUAAAAAAAAAUACUAUUGAAGUAAUUUUACAAUUUUUAAUAAAAACUCUCAUUGACAAACAAACAACUAAUUUUUUUGGGUGAAAUCUCUAUUUGUAAAAGUUUUACAAAAAAAAUUCUACUUAAAUAAGCUUUAUUUGAAAAUUUUACCAAAUGGACUCUCAAUAAAAACAAAAUAACUUAUUUAAUCUUUAAAAGUUCUUAAAAAAACAACAAUAAAAAUUUUAAAAAAAACUUAUGAGAUUAAAUAAGUAUUUAUAAUUAUUAAAUAAAUCAUACCAAAUAGACACAUAAUUGUAAAAUGAUAGGCUUUGAUGGUAGUUUAUUACCGACUUGCCGUUCUUUGGAGAAAUAGUAAAAUAUCUAUGAUGUAUUACAAUUGAUUGAUGCAUGCAUGACAUAUGUACUUAAAUUUAAUAUAAUUCACGUCCAAAUUUUUAGAAUAUUUUAUAAUAUACGAGUAUGAGGAUGGUCCCAGUUAUGAAAAUUUAGUAAAAUUGUUGAAUUUGUGGGUAGUAACUUGCCAAUUUUUGUGGGUUGAUAGUUGAAGUUGUAACCUUAUACUUAGCAAGUAUGAUUAAAGCUUCAUAUGGGAUUGUGGUGCCAUGGAUACGACCCUUACCGUGACAUGGAAUCUUGUAGCUACAUGAGCACCAGCUAUCAAAUGAUGGGGAUGGUCGGUUGUAAUAGCUUUUGAAGUUGGGUACGGAUGGCUAAGAUUUUUUGUGGAAAAACUGUGAGUUGAAUUCAAAUUGGCUACCUGAGCAAAAUUGGAAGUGCUUACCGAUCGAACGUGCUAAACAUUGAUACCAAAUGGAGCCCAAGUCUGAACUUUAUGAAAUCUAAAAUAGGUCCAUGUGCAUGUGUUAUGAUUGUUUGUUUUCUGAAGCAUCUGAUUAUAAGUGUUUUAAACGUCAAGCUGUUUGUUUCCUUAGAAAAUGUACUAGUAUACACAUACUGGUUUAUAAGAACACCAUAGGAAUAUGUUGCUAAGAAACGGUUGAAAUGUGUUAAUGCCAAAGGAUUUUUUUUGAGUGGUAAAAGUUUUUGGUGGGGACUACUUCUUGAUGCCUAUUGCAAUUGCAACGGCAAAAAUCUAAAUAGAAAGUAGCCACUUUGUGCAAAAUGUUGGGAGUGCAGCAGAAGAUUACUCCCUCCCGGCGGGCCCUCUUUUUGUGCCUGAUGAUGGAUGGUGAUUGAUUUUUAUUAUCUUUGUUUUACAGCAAAUUAUGUUAUAAUAAACAUCCAUGUUUAUGCAAAUUGUUCAUUCAGAUUUGGGAUAUUUCCUUCAUGUGGUCUUUCUCAGAAGCUUUCGCGCAUUAUUGGACCAAAUAGAGCUCGUGAAAUAUCCAUGACAGCAACCCCUAUACUACAAUGGAAUGACGAAGGAGCAGUUUAAGAAAAUGCAGGAAUUUAUAGCUGCUCGGAGUUCAAAGAAACCCUCUUCCAAGUUGUAAAUUCAACAAAUGAUCAGCAUGUCCUAUACGCGACUCUUUCAGAUUCAAUCAAUUGGUUCUUUCAAUCAUUUAUUUUUAGAAAAACGGGUAAUUACCAAUCCAUAAUUUUUCUAAACCAAUGUAAUUAGUUGAAAUUUGAAAGGGUUAAAAUAUUGUGGAGUUGAAUAAGACCAAAUUUGUAUUUUCAGAACCUGUGGCGACCCUUAUGUGGUAAAUCCAAUGUUUUUGGGCAUUUCUGUGUUCCAUGCAAAUAUUACCGUAUUGAAGACAACAAUCGUAACGACUGACGAGCUCUCGAGUUGAGCCCGUGCUCAAACGACGUCGUUGCAGUCUUCCAGGGAAAAAUUGAGAGAAACGAAUGUCAAGUCAAUAAUAAAUAUUAUGACUUAUUUAGAAGAUUAGGAUUCGCUCCCCUGGAACAAAUUGGAAGUAAAUAAUUAAUUAAGAUUAUCUUGAUAGGGUGGGCAGUGGGAACUUAUAAUUACAUAUAAAACUUUUUGUGAAUGUCUCGCACAAGGGAAAAUGGAGGCAAGGCUUGGAGAGCAGCUAUGGCUUCAGGUUCUUUUAUUAUUUUUCCUGUUUUGCAGGGACCUUUUUUUAUUUUAUUUUCUCCAUGAAACUUUAUUAAUUAUUUUGGUCUAAAGCCUUAAACUAUAAAAAAUUUGGUGAUUUUUGAUGGAAAAUUCUGAGCUUUUUCUUCCACUUCUCGAUCUCUUCUAUUUCAUUUUCUAUAUAUGUUAUCAAUUAUGUGUGUAAUUGAUGGGGCCCAACAGUAGGAGAAGUGGUACUCCUACAGGUCACUAAUUAUGUAUCUCCUGAAUCUAUAUAUACGCUCUCUUCAAACUUCUUCACCACUUGCUUGUUUCUUUCUCAGUUCCUUUGCUUCCAUUUCCUUCAGCUUCCUCUUCCACUUGCAUGCUUCUUAAUCCAGUGCAGUGUAUAUAUAAUUAGUACCUCUUAUGAACAGAGAGAGAAAGCAGAGUAAUGGAAGUGCGGAGGUUUGAUUUUAAUGGUGGGUGCCGAGUUGAGAGAAUCACAAGAACUGAUUCUCAUCAAUUCCCACGAGAGAGGCGUGGCCCUCCUCAAAGGUUGCUCCUCUCUUCUCGUCCUUCUCUUAAUUAUAUAUAAAUAAUUUCCUGUUGGUUUCAUUACAAAAUUUUGGUGGGUUUCAAGUGGGAGAUAAAUGUAUAAUUCGUGAUUAGAUAAUAUGACUUUUUACUGCAGGUUACACGUACACUCCGAUUAUCAUCAUAUCGAGCAGUGUAACCCAUAUGAACGGACCAACUUUUACUAGGUGAGCAUCUACUUUCAGUUGCUGAAUUUAUAAUUCAGUUUCCAAUGUCCAUAGAUCUUGUUUGUAUAAAUGCAAUACCAUCUAAUAUAAAGUCAUUUAUUUCAUCUUGACAAAAUUUUGUCUUAAUUUGCACCAGAAUCAUACAAAUGGAAGCUUGGCCAGGCUUUUUGAUCUGGCUUUUUAAAAGCCCUUGAUUUUGUGUUUUGUAAUUUCUUUUCUUUUCUCUCUCUCUUUUUUUAGAAUUUAUAUUUUGUAAUUUCUUAAAAUUAGAGUUAAGCUCCUAGCACCUCUUUAAUUAAAACUCCUAUGAAACCCCCACUUAUUAUAUGUAUAGCUCUUAUAAUUAAAUAUUUAACAUAAUUUUUUAUAAUAAAAAUCUCAUCAUUAUAUAAUUUAUUAUUUUAUUGCCCCAAAAUUAUUUUCAUUUUAAAAAUAAUUAUUCAUAUCAUUUACAUAUGGGAGGGUUCAUGAUUGUAAGUGUAAAAAUGUUUUAAUUCAGUUCAAUUUAUAUUUGUCCUUUUAUGUAAUUUUCUUCUAGCAAUAGAGUUACGAUUACAAAAUGUAGGGUCUUAUAAGUAUUUUAAGAGGCUGUGAAAAGCACUACUCUAAGAUUAUCUUCAUUAAAUUUCACAAAGAUAGUAAUUUCUAUGGUUCUACCACCCCUUGAUUUUUCUUAUAAAGCCUUUCUUUUAUAUUUAUGAUUUCACCUUAAUAAGACCACAUAAAACGACAAAUUCAGUUCGAUUUUUUUCUUUUAAACCUCUUCUUUUGUAUAAUUUUAGCCAUGGUUAAAAUAGUUAGGCUAAAAGGAUUUAAAAUUUUUAAUGAUGGCAAAUUAUAUAUGCAGACACAUACCUGUGGAUGACAGCGGCAGUGGCCAAGAAGCAGCCAGAGUGGUGGCGGCAGCGGCAGCGGCGGCGACAACAGUGGCAGCGGUCAUGAUUGUCUUUGUAAUAUAUUUGCCUUGUAUUCUCUCUCUCUCUCUCUCUGCAUUACAAUAAACAUUAUCGUAAAUAAUACGCCAGAGAAUGGCCCCAUGAUAGUGGACUUGAGCAAAGUCGCUGGUCCCUUUUGAAUUUUGUUGCCGUAGCUUUUAUCUUUUUUUUGUGUGUGAAAAAUUCUCAUUUACAUGUGCAUUACAAUCAAAAUUCCAGCACAUAUUAAAUCAAUAGUCUAUCGUGGUAAUUAAAUAAUUAAUUUAAUAAUAGUUUAAGAAUAAUGAUGUGUGUACGAUAAUUUUAUUAGAGAUAGAAAAAAUAUUUUGUUGUGAAGUUUUCUUUUCUUAUGCAGUAAUUUUUUUUUAUCCUAUAGUGAUCGUGUACUCUACUGUUUUUUGUACUAUCUAUUGUACACAUGUUUCUCUCUCUCUCUUUCUCUGUAUAUAUAUAAAAUUCAAUUACCACAUUUGGAAUAAAACAUUGAUUUUGAGAAAAUAAUCAAAAUCCUCCGUUGUUUAUGAAAAAAACCUAUUAACUUUAAUUUUAAAAUUUUGUCAUAUUUUUUUAUUAUUUUACUUUUGAUGUGAUAAAAUCCAACGAUAACAAAGGGAAAUUUCUAAGAUAUAUUAGUUAAAAAAACAAAAAAAAGAGAUAAAAGUUCACAUAAUUUUUUUUUAACAACACGAGUAUUUUGAUGAAUUGUGAGAGAGGAUUGAUUAUUUUUUACACGAAAAGCAUGGAAUUUAAUCAUUUUCAUGAUUUAUUGCCUAUGUGUGCGUGCGUGUGCAUGUGUGGGGCAAGGAGACUGCAUGGGGAAUACAACUCUCCGCUCAAAGCUGUAUUAGUCUGCAAUUCAGGAGUGGGCAAUUUGAAAUUACUUUCCUGAUUUACUUGUGACGGAUUCUGUUUAGAGUCCAAUUCUACUAGUGGCGCAAAUUCACCAUCUCUACUCUUCAAGUAACUAUUUGUCUUACUCUAUGCUUCAUCUUAGUUACAGUAAUUAAUUAAUUAACUUUUUAAGAUCUAGUAAAAGUAAUUAAUUUUAUCUAAUUUUUAACUCGAUUUCCAGAUUAGGUUAAUUUAGAUUCAUGUGAAUUGGAAGUGAUUCAAUUUUUUUAACUGAUUUCGUUGUUGAUGCGUAAUUACUAUUAGUGUGAUGAUUGAUUUGUGAUUUUAACUUAUAAUUCGGUUAUUGAUUUAGUUUAUAUGAUAUUUAAUUGGAUCUAUCAUUGUGAGAUUGUAAUUCACAUGAAAUGACCCUUUUUUUUCGAGUUUAAAGUUGAAUGCUUUUUAGUUUUUUGAAAAAGAAUGCUUUAUAAUUUUAAUCUGAACAUUUUGGGCCACGAUUUAAAUGACUAAAUUUGUGUGGUAAGUGAAGUCGCAGUGCCAAAUUGUGACAGCUACAUAUUGGGGUGAAAGUUUGGGAUUUCAAUUGUGUAUUUUAGAUGUAAUUUAUUCAUCAAGUUAAAAUCAUGCACCGGCAAAUUUUGUCAUUGAAUUGGAUAAUUAGAUCGGCAUUUGAUGUUUACUUGUACAUGUGAGUAGGGCUGCUCUCUGUAUGUUGGAGUUGGUGAUGCAAGUUGAAACUAACCAGAUGUUGACUUUGGCAUGUUAGAGUUGAAUUGGAAUUGCAAUUAAUUCAUAAAGAGAAACUUAUGAGCCAUGGAGUUUUUUCAUUGAAUUAGAUAAUUAGGUCUGGUUUCGAUGUUUACUUGGAUACGUGAGUAGAACUGUUCUCCAUAUGUUGAAGUUAGGUAUGCGAGUAGGACUGUUCUCCAUAUGUUAAAUCAGGUUGAAAAAAUUACGUACUGAAUUGUUAUGGGUGCAAUUCAUCUUUUGAAACACUUAAGAUUUUUUGCCAUUAUGUUAUUAUCCUGUGGUUUUCUAAGGUACAAUGAGACAUUAAAAAAGACAUAAUAUCUUAAGCACAUAAUAUUAUGCGCGGAAUGCGGAAUCAAGCGUACCAAAUAAAUACAGAAAAAUAAAGGACACAAGAAUUUAUGUGGUUCGGUAACUAAACCUACAUCCACGGGAGCAAGAGAAAAAUAAUUGUAUUAUUAACAAUUAUUUGAGUACAAAUUUGAGUAAAAAAAUCUCACUUUUCCUUAACCCAAAUACACCCAGUACUCUCACACACACUAUCCAAUUGCUCACACUCUCAGAACUCUCAAAAGCUUAAAAAACUAAUAAGCUUAACAAAUUUUUGGGAUGCAAAAAAAUGGAAGAAGUGCCACCUAUUUAUAGGGAAAAUAAUGACACUAUUGCACCAACCCCUUGACUAUUCCACCUAACCUAAGCAAAUAGUCAAUGGUGUCCAUUUGGCAAAUUUGACAAAUUUGCCAACUUUCCAUUUUUUCUUCAAAUGUUUGGUAGCUCUUUGAAAAAUUACCACAUGCAUGACUUUUCAACAAUUCUCCACCUCGGCGAAAAUUUGUCCAAAUCUGAGCCGACUACCAACCAAUCAUCAUCCCCAAAGUGGCUGCAUCUCUGUGACUGCCUACGUACCCAAAAUUUGGGAUCAAGCCAACCGUAGUUCAAAAUUCCCGAAGGACAUAACUUAACACAAUCGAAGGAUUUGAAUUAGUUUUAAGCAAUGUUGAAACUUAACUCCAGAAACUACCUUCGUCAACAUAUCUGAUGGAUUAUCUUUGGUAUCGAUCUUUCUCAACAACACAACACCGCUCUCGAUAAUCUCCCUCACAUAAUGAUAUUUCACAUCUAUGUGCUUCGUUCGAGCGUGAUAUGUUUGAUUCUUCGCAAGGAAUAUCGCACUUUGAUUAUCACAGGAGACCGUAAUGUUCUCCUGGAUUACUCCCAAAUCACCUAACAAGCCUUUCAACCAAAUAGCUUCUUUUACAGCUUCAGUUGCUGCCAUAUACUCUGCUUCCGUAGUGGAUAGAGCAAUUGUCGAUUGUAGAAUCGACCUCCAGCUAACCGGACCUCCACCCAAUGUGAAUACAUAACCCGUUGUUGAUCUUCGCUUGUCAAGGUCUCCAGCGAAAUCAGAAUCACAAUACCCAACACAUUGUUGACCACAAUCCUUCUUGAACAAUAACCCAACAUCAAUUGUCCCAUACAGAUAUCGGAGAAUCCACUUUACCGCAAGCCAUUGAUUUUUAUCCGGAUUGUGCAUGUAUCUAUUAACCAUACUCACUGGUUGAGAUAUAUCGGGCCUUGUGCAUACCAUAGCAUACAUAAGACUACCCACAGCACUAGCAUAUGGAAUACAAGCCAUGUAAUCGUGCUCCUCUUGAGAUUUAGGACAUGAAGAAGAGCUUAAUUUGAAAUGAGAAGCUAAAGGUGUAUAUACCGGUUUAGUUUUGUCAUCCAUACCGAAUCUCUCUAACACUUUCUUCAAAUAAAACUUUUGAGUCAACCAUACACUCUCAUUCUUCUUGUCUCUACGAAUCUUCAUCCCAAGUAUUCUCUGUGCUUCACCCAAAUCUUUUAUCUCGAACUCAUAAGCCAACUGCUUCUUUAAUCUUUCAAUCUCAUCUCUAUUCUUCGAAGCUAUAAGCAUAUCGUCGACAUAGAGUAAUAAAUAGAUAAAAGCUCCAUCUGGUAGUCUUCUAAAGUAAACAUAAUGAUCGUAUUCACUUCUGGUGAAUUUCUGCCCUUGUAUAAAUUGAUCAAAUCUUUUGUACCACUGCCUUGGCGAUUGUUUCAGUCCGUACAAAGAUUUAAUCAACCUACACGCAUGAUUCUCCUUUCCAACAACUCUGAAACCACAAGGCUGAAUCAUAUAGAUUUCCUCCUCCAAAUCUCCAUGUAAAAACGCCGUCUUAACAUCCAAUUGAGCCAACUCUAACUCAUAUUCUGCAAUUAAGGCAAGUAGGAUACAAAUGGAAGUAUGUUUUACAAAUGGAGAGAAAACUUCAUUGUAGUCAAUACAUUCCUUUUGAGUAAAACCUUUUGCCACGAGCCUUGCCUUGUAUCGAGGAGUUGAUUGAUUCGGAGAUCCUUGCUUUUUGGUGUAGACCCAUUUAUUGCCAAUAGCCCUUUUUCCCUUUGGUAACUUUACAAGUUCCCAAGUCUGGUUUUGAUGGAGAGAUUUCAUCUCUUCUUCCAUGGCCAACUUCCACUGAUCACUUUCACUGCUGCGUAAUACUUCACCGAAAGUGUUGGGGAUGUCAUCAUCAAUAACUGGAAGUGCAUAGGCUACCACCAUAUUUUUAGUAAGCCAUCCGGGUUUUUUUAUCUCUCUUCUUGGCCUCUUUGUUGCUAUAAAAUCAUCAUUAUCUACAUCAUCAAUUGUUUCUUCAUUUUGUGGGACAUCAGAAGAAACAAUCUCUUCUUCAACUCUAGGUGUCACCUCCAUAGUUGAACCCUUCUUUGAUGUAGAACUAACAGGUACAUAUAGAGUUGCAUCAAACUCCACCCGCUGCAAUACCUCUUUGGUCUUGUUCUCCACCUGCUGAGAACUUGAAGCUUUUAUCAUUGAAGCUUCAUCAAAUGUAACAUCUCUACUACACACAAAUUUUUUGUCUUCGAGAUCCCAAAGCUUGAAGCUUUUUACUCCACCUUUGAAUCCCAUAAAGAUAGCUUUUCUAGCACGAGGAUCCAAUUUACCAUCUUUGACAUGAUAAUAAGCUAGACACCCGAAUAUACGAAGAGAAUCAUAGUCUUGUGCAUGCUUUUCAGACCACAUUUCCAUAGGAGUUUUACCUCUAAUUGCAGCAGAAGGCAACCGGUUUACCAAGUGACUUGCGUAGCUCACAGCUUCAGCCCAAAACUUUUUAUCUAAACCAGCAUUAGAUAACGUACACCGUACCUUCUCCAGUAAAGUACGAUUCAUAUGCUCAGCCACAUCGUUCUGUUGCGGAGUAUGUCUCACCGUGAAAUGUCUUUUAAUACUCUCAUUCUGGCAUACUUGCAAGAAUGGAUCAGAAGUAUAUUCACCCCCAUUAUCAUAUCGUAAUACUUUGAUCUUUCUGUCAGUUUAAGUCUCCACCAAUUUCUUCCAUUUCACGAAAAUCUCUAGAACCUCAUCAUUUGCUCGCAUGGUGUACACCCACACACGUCUAGAGAAAUCAUUAACAAACGUAACAAAAUAAUGGCUUCCACCAAUUGAUACAGUCUUGGUUGGUCCCCAUACAUCACUAUGAACAUAUUCAAGGAUCUCACGAGUAUCGUGAUUGGCUGUACCAAACUUGACCCUUGUUUUCUUGCCUACUACACAAUGCUCACGGAAAUUUAAUUUACAAGUUUUGGUACCUUUUAAGAGUUCGUGCCUCAUCAGAGUUUGCAAAGACUUCUCGCCAGCAUGUCCCAGUCGUACAUGUCAUAGCUUGGUGGUGUCACUGUGCGCCUCAACAAUAUUUGCUUCAUCAGUUGUACCUCCCUUCAAAUAGUACAGAUUGUGACACCGAACCCCUUGUAGAAUCACCAUAGCCCCAUGUGUAAACUUCAUUAUGCCAUCUUCAAUUGUAACCUUGUAGCUUUUAGCUUCCAAAGCACCCACAGAAAUUAGAUUUUUCUUUAAAGCUGGAACAAAUCUAACUUCUUUGAGUUCCCUGAUCAUUCCAUCAAACAUUUUGAGCCGAAUUGUUCAUAUCCCCAUUGUACGACAAGGUUGAUAAUUCCCCAUCACAACUGCACCAGAUUCCAGAUUACGAAAAUUCGUAAACCAUUCCUUAAUGGGACACAAAUGAUAGGUUGCUCCAGUAUCAAGUAUCCACUCACUCGAGCUAGCCACGUAUGCUGCAAAAGUAAUACUUAGUGAAUAAUCAGAGUCCUCAUCUUUCCGUGCCAUGUUUACUGCUGCUGGUUUCUUCUCAUCUCUCUUUUGAGCCUUUGGACAAUCUUUCCUUCAAUGGCCUUUUUCAUAACAAAAGGCACACUCAUCUCGAGCUAGAUUUCAGCUUCUCGAUUUGGAUCGAGAAUUCUUUCCACCACACUUUUUCUUUUUCUCCAUCGCCCAAUCUCUACUUACUAAAGCUUCAGACGAUGCUCGUUCAGAAUUUUUAUCAUUAUUCCGAAUCUCCAAGUUAGUCAAUGUUGUGCAAACAUCUUUGAAGACGAUCACACUCUUCCCAUAUAUCAAGGUAGUCACAAAAUGACUAUAUUAUUCUGGUAGUGAGUAUAACAGAAUCAUAGCCUUGACUUCAUCCUUAAUAGCUUCAUCAAGAUUCUUCAAAUCAGCAAGUAACUUUUCAAAUCUUGAGACAUGAUCGUGCAUUGACACCCCAGGCUUCAUUCGAAAGCCAUAUACUUGGCUCAUUGUAUGAAGACGAUUUUUAGGACUUUUCAGCAGGUACUUCUCCUUCAAUGAAUGCCAUAAAGUCACCGCACACUCUUCAUCUUUCACCAAGCAUUUCACCUCAUUGGUCAAACAAGAUCUGAUCUGACCACAAGCUUUCUCGUUCAUACAAUCCCAAAUUUCUUCAUCAUACAAGUGUCUUUUAUUUUUCAGAACAACAUCGAGAUCGAUUUGAAUAAGGGCAUUCAUAACUUCGCGCCUUCACAUGCCGAAGUUGAUUUUCCCAUCAAAUUUUUCAAUAUCGAUCUUCUGGCCUCCUAUAACAGGUGCUGAAUAGCGAUUUGACAAAUCUCGCCUCCCACAUGAAGCGUCUCCUGAAAUAGUCUCGGUAGAUCUCUCCCCAAUUCUGAAAGUUUCACCUUCUACCAUUUUCUCAACGAACUAUUUCCACUUGAAAAACAGUCUCUAUGAUGUUAAUUUUGUGUGAAUAAAUGCACCAGGAAAGUUCUCAGAAAACUGGACGGGAACUUGGUCCCAAUUAAAAACCAGAAUCCUUAUACUCUUAUCGCCUUUGUUGACAGAACUUUCUUAGACUUGCAAAAAUACACACUACUUACAAUAGACUGUCUCACAAAUACAAAUGGUCGUCUCCACUGUAUUCGUGAACAGUACCUCUGUGAACAGUACCGUAUACAGAAAUAUUACCGUAUCCCCCAAGUACGAACCGUCUGCUCUGAUACCACUUGUUGUGCGCGGAAUGCGGAAUCAAGCGCACCAAAUAAAUACAGAAAAAUAAAGGACACAAGAAUUUACGUGGUUCGGUAAUUAAACAUACAUCCACGAGAACAAGAGAAAAAUAAUUGUGAAAUAAUACAUCAUGUGAAAUGGAUUGAAUUGCUUUAAGAUCUGUCCAAAUUAAACUGUCUAAACUCAUUUACAGGCUUGCGGGAGCAAAGAAAAUUUUUUUUUUUUAGCAACUCCAGAGUCAUUUAAAAAUGGAAAUUUUUUCCUAAAGCAGUUUUUGUUGUAUGAUUAAAGAGAAAUGUGAGAUUUUCAGGUUGAAGGAAGGACAAUAAAAGCCCAGAUAUGGGAUGCUGCAGGUCAAGAGCGAUACAGAGCAGUAACGACUGCCUAUUAUAGGGGCGCACUCCGAGCUCUUUUAGUUUAUGAUGUGACAAAAUCAACAACAUUUGAAAAUGUGAGCUGGUGGCUGAAGGAUCUGAGGGACCAUGCAGACUCCAACAUCGUGAUCAUGAUGAUCGGCAACAAGGCUGAUCCGAAACACCUCCAACUUCUAUGGUGAUGGCCUCUCUCCCUCUGUUACUCUCAAUUUCUUCCCAUUUUGUCGUGUUCCAACUUCUAUGUUAAUUUUUCAGUCUCUCGAUGGUUUAUUGUUGAAACUUAUUUUUAUUUAAUUUUUGUUAACAAUGUUGUAUUUGAAUUAUUCUCCUCAUUGUUGUUGCGACUUGAGAUAUCAGAAUUAUUUUGUUACGGCAGUGUGCAC
rnacentral:lncRNA from 1 species